rnacentral:misc_RNA from 1 species
GAUGAAGAACGUAGCGAAAUGCGAUAAGUAAUGUGAAUUGCAGAAUUCAGUGAAUCAUCGAAUCUUUGAACGCACAUUGCGCCCCUUGGUAUUCCGAGGGGCAUGCCUGUUCGAGCGUCAUUAUCACCCUUCAAGCUUUGCUUGGUGUUGGGGCCUGCUGUAAUAGGCAGCCCUUAAAAUCAGUGGCGGUGCUUCAAGGCUCUAAGCGUAGUAAUUCUCCUCGCUAUAGUGUCUAGUGGUUGCCAGCCAGAACCCCCCAAUUUUCAUGAUUGACCUCGGAUCAGGUAGGGAUACCCGCUGAACUUAAGCAUAUCAAUAAGCGGAGGA